GGGCAUUUGGUCUAGUGGUAUGAUUCUGGCUUUGGGUGCAAGAGAUCCCAUUUCGAUUCACGGAAUGCCCC
rfam:Brassica napus, WGS project CCCW01000000 data, contig: 3248